rnacentral:rRNA from 1 species
AGCGAACGCUGGCGGCAGGCCUAACACACGCAAGUCGAACGAAGUCUUCGGACUUAGUGGCGGACGGGUGAGUAACACGUGGGAACGUACCUUUAGGUUCGGAAUAACUCAGGGAAACUUGUGCUAAUACCGAAUGUGCCCUUCGGGGAAAGAUUUAUCGCCUUUAGAGCGGCCCGCGUCUGAUUAGCUAGUUGGUGAGGUAAAGGCUCACCAAGGCGACGAUCAGUAGCUGGUCUGAGAGGAUGAUCAGCCACAUUGGGACUGAGACACGGCCCAAACUCCUACGGGAGGCAGCAGUGGGGAAUUUUGCGCAAUGGGCGAAAGCCUGACGCAGCCAUGCCGCGUGAAUGAUGAAGGUCUUAGGAUUGUAAAAUUCUUUCACCGGGGACGAUAAUGACGGUACCCGGAGAAGAAGCCCCGGCUAACUUCGUGCCAGCCGCCGCCGUAA